rnacentral:misc_RNA from 1 species
ACCACUCUUAGCUGUUCCAUAUGCUGCUCCCAUACCUAAACCCAAUAAACUUUAAUAUUCAUAUCAAAGAGACUCGAAUUUUUUUUUUUCUAUUUUAAAGCACUUGAAUACAAUGUCUCAAGUAAAACGUGAAUUGGGUUGUGAACUCCAACUGGUUUGUAACCAGAACUUGAAUACAACGUUUUCAAGCAAAAAGUGAAUUGGGUUGUGAACAGCAUAUAGUUUGGAACUGAAGUUAAAUUAAUUGAGUAAAACUGAUCUUAGCUAAUAAAACAAUGUUCAAUUUGAAUCUUAAUGAUCUCCGUCCCUCCAAAUCAUGAGAAACAAACAAGGGAUCCUAAACUAAGCAAGCUUAUACAAUGGGCUACAACAAUGAACAAUGACAAUACUAAUAAUAUAACCAAAGAUCUGCAACAUCACCAAUAACAUUAAACCUUCCCAAUCGCGAAAAAACUAGGAAUUUAAGAUUAAGAAACCGCCAAUAAUAAACAAAAUGGGAUCACUUAAGGCAUAUAAUUGCAUCAGACAGAUCUAACAAUCAGACACCUAAACUUGAUUUUCUAUCUGAUUCUCGGAAACAAACAUAUAAAAUUUAAAAUUGACAGAUUCACACAGUGAGAUCUAAAACAAAAGAUAGAUAAUUAAAGACAAGGAAAAUUAUAGAGUUAUGGUUACAGGAGAAGACAAGAGCGGCAGCGGCGCCGAGGAAGCCAAAGAAAGGAGCAGUUUCAUCGCCGCUGAAUCCAGAAGACAUGGUUAAUUAAGGGAUGUAAAAAAAAAAAAAAAACGGUGUCG